rnacentral:lncRNA from 1 species
CUCCUGUCAAUGGCCCUAAAACGCCCUCAUGAUUAACAGCUCAGUGGCUGAGAUGCUGAUGAAGAAAAAUGAAGCAUUUGCAUUGGCAACUUUGGUAACCUUACUCUCAUACUCUGCAUUACAUACUUUAACUUCAUUGAGCCUGCAUUUCCUUUUAUGUUUAGGUGCCAUGUGAAGUAAGUACUAUUUACAUGAAGUAAGUACUCCCUCCGUCCCAAAAAACUUGUCCCUCAAAUGGUUGUAUCUAGCACCAAGUUAGUGCUAGAUACAUCCAUUUGAGGAACAAGCUUGGGACAAGUUUUUUCGGACGGAGGGAGUACUAUUUACAUGAAGAAGAGACAAGUAGCUCAAGCUUUUACCUUAGCUGAUAAGUUGCAUAAUAUUGGUGGAAAUAUUCAGCCCUUCCACUUCCUCCUUCGCGUUGCUGUUACAUUUAACCAAGUUCUUUUUCUUGUCAUCGUUCCUGAACAAAGAGGAUAAAACAUUUACGUCAUCCUUGCUAGCCGUUCUUUUCCUUGCGAGUUAAAGCUCGAAGCCAAGCAUUUUGCUUCCUUGUUUGGAAUUACUUCCACUGUUCAUUAUUAUAAAAUGUUGUGGAUAUUUCAAUAUAGAUUACAUACGAACUAAAAUGAGUGAACAAAUGCACUAUGGGUCUAUAUACAUCCGACUCAGAAAAAGUUCGAACCUCUUAUAAUAGUGAACGGAGGGAGUACCUGGCACUUGUUCUGACUUUGCUAGUACUGCAAACCUGGCAUUUUGCUCUGCAUGUUUUGAAUUUCCUCUACUUCUCUGCGUUUGAGCAUGAUUUGACCUAAUCACAUAUGUUCUCUUCCAGAUUUUUUGCACAGAAAACUGCAAUAAGGGGCACCCAAUCCACUGUCGAAAACGGUCUGCUGGGCGAGACAUGAUCAGUGCCUGAGAAUCCAGUUGAAUCCAUGGUAUAAUCUUCAUCAUUUCAGCACAGAGUGGAUGCCUAGCUGGCACUGUGAACU